rnacentral:lncRNA from 1 species
GUAACCUCGCGGCGGGCGUGCAGACCGGACGCCCUCCCGCUUCUUCUACCGACUGCUAGGCACACCAGUGGGUUCAUUUUGAAAGAGGCCCUUGCACCGGGCUUUGCAAGGAAGCCGGCAAGGUUAGAUUGAAGGUUAGAAGCCAAUUAGACUAGAAUCCUGCGAUCUGGUGAGACUGCCGCCUUAAAAUGCACCAAACAGUUUUUGAACCUGGAGGGCUAACAGGCGGGAAAAACAUCUGCAAGACUGCCACCGUGUAUUUUUCUCAAGUAACAGGCUAUCCACAGUUUUGGAAUUCCUUAGUGAAACUGUCACACAGGCACAAACACAUGUCAGCUUUCCUUCUAGUUUGUAAAUAAUAUUUGUAAUUUACAGGCCACUGUAUUCCCAACUUUGCACCAUGUGAUUUAGAGAAAGCAAAGCUCCCUCUUUAAAAAUAAUAUGUUACUUCUGAAAUACCGGGAUAUUCCACGGCAAGUAAGCCAUAUUGUCGCCAGAGCAAAUAAACCGCAGCCCCAUAUCAUAAUUCACUGGGUGCUAUAAGAUGUA